rnacentral:lncRNA from 1 species
CUUUCAGACUAUGAGGAAGACGACAAUGAAGAUACUGACAGUAGUGAUGCAGAAAAUGAAAUUAAUAAACAUGAUGUCGUGGUCCAGUUGCAGCCUAAUGGUGAAUGGGAUUACAACAUAGCAAAUACUGUUUGACUUUCAGAAGAUGAUUGGUUUAUUUCACUUUAAAAUAUUUAGGUAUAUACUGUAAUUUGAUUUUUUGCUCCCUUCAAAGAUUUCUGUAGAAAUACCUUAUUUUUUAGUAUUCUACAGUUUAAUCAAAUUACUGAAAUGGGAUUUUUGAUCUGGUAUUUAUCUGCAAGAGUAUACUUCAUUCACUAAUAAUAGACUGGUGCUGUAACUCAAACAUCAAUUCAGCUCUUCUUUUGGAAUGAAAGUAUAGCCAAAACAAACAAACAAAAAAAUCCUCAGUAUAGCUUGCAAUUAAGACUUAGAUCACAGUAUUUAAGUGUUUUGAGUUUUGUACAUGAGGUCAGUGCUACAGCCACCUAGCAUGAACUAACCCAGCUUCCACCUCCAUAAAGUUACCUAGAGUUGUUGAGUUGGAAUAUGUUCUGGCAUUUACCCGACCUGCCAAUCAUUAGGGAGAGGCAACAAGGUAAUUCAGCCUUUCCUCCUAUCAGCACGAAGAAACUCAAAGCUGUUUUUUCCCUUUCUGUUCCAAAGCAGUCUUAUCCUGACAGGAGCGGUCUAUACUAGUGCAGAUUUCAACACUUUUUUUUUAAUGUUUUAAUUACUAUAGUGUUAUGUAGAGAUUUGAUUGAGCAGCUAAUGUUUCUGAACUUUACUUACUAAUUUUCAGUGUCCUUAAGGGUUCUGUAGUGUUGUUAUCAAAGCAAAAAGAAAAUGCUGCAUAAAAAUACCAAACUUCAGCAACUGUUAAUACUCAGAUCAUAUACCUCUUAACAAAUAGCAUCUUAUGCUAAUUAGCCCUGCUAAACUAUGUACAGAGAAAACUGUUCAAGUAUUGGAUUUGAAAGUAAGUGACUUAUGUUUAACAGAACUAAUGAUGUAUUGAAACACUGUAUUAUGAAAAGCUAAAUUAUACAUCAUUGUAACUAUGUAGAAAAUGUAGACUAAUGUAUAAUCAAAAUGCUAAGGAUUUUUAUAUGGCCUUGUAUGAGGGGAGUUUGAAUGUUAAUAAACAUGUUUUCCACUUUAAGAUCCAAAAAAAAAAAAAAAA